rnacentral:rRNA from 1 species
GAGUUUGAUCAUGGCUCAGGACGAACGCUGGCGGCGUGCUUAACACAUGCAAGUCGAACGAUGAAGCGGUGCUUGCACCGUGGAUUAGUGGCGAACGGGUGAGUAAUACGUGAGUGACCUACCUUUGACUCUGGGAUAAGCCUGGGAAACUGGGUCUAAUACCGGAUACGACCAAUCUCUGCAUGGGGUGUUGGUGGAAAGCGUUAUGGAGUGGUUUUAGAUGGGCUCACGGCCUACCAGCUUGUUGGUGAGGUAAUGGCUUACCAAGGCGACGACGGGUAGCCGGCCUGAGAGGGUGACCGGCCACACUGGGACUGAGACACGGCCCAGACUCCUACGGGAGGCAGCAGUGGGGAAUAUUGCACAAUGGGCGCAAGCCUGAUGCAGCGACGCCGCGUGAGGGAUGACGGCCUUCGGGUUUGUAAACCUCUGUUAGCAUCGAAGAAGCGAAAGUGACGGUAGGUGCAGAGAAAGCGCCGGCUAACUACGUGCCAGCAGCCGCGGUAAUACGUAGGGCGCGAGCGUUGUCCGGAAUUAUUGGGCGUAAAGAGCUUUGUAGGGCGGUUGGUCGCGUCUGCUGUGAAAGGCCGGGGCUUAACUCCGGUUUUGCAGUGGGUACGGGCUAACUAGAGUGCAGUAGGGGAGACUGGAAUUCCUGGUGUAGCGGUGGAAUGCACAGAUAUCAGGAGGAACACCGAUGGCGAAGGCAGGUCUCUGGGCUGUAACUGACGCUGAGAAGCGAAAGCAUGGGGAGCGAACAGGAUUAGAUACCCUGGUAGUCCAUGCCGUAAACGUUGGGCACUAGGUGUGGGGGACAUUCCACGUUUUCCGCGCCGUAGCUAACGCAUUAAGUGCCCCGCCUGGGGAGUACGGCCGCAAGGCUAAAACUCAAAGGAAUUGACGGGGGCCCGCACAAGCGGCGGAGCAUGCGGAUUAAUUCGAUGCAACGCGAAGAACCUUACCAAGGCUUGACAUGCAUUAGAUCGCGUCAGAGAUGGCGUUUCCCUUCGGGGCUGGUGUACAGGUGGUGCAUGGUUGUCGUCAGCUCGUGUCGUGAGAUGUUGGGUUAAGUCCCGCAACGAGCGCAACCCUCGUUCUAUGUUGCCAGCGGUUCGGCCGGGGACUCAUAGGAGACUGCCGGGGUCAACUCGGAGGAAGGUGGGGAUGACGUCAAAUCAUCAUGCCCCUUAUGUCUUGGGCUUCACGCAUGCUACAAUGGCCGGUACAGAGGGUUGCGAUACUGUGAGGUGGAGCUAAUCCCUUAAAGCCGGUCUCAGUUCGGAUUGGGGUCUGCAACUCGACCCCAUGAAGUCGGAGUCGCUAGUAAUCGCAGAUCAGCAACGCUGCGGUGAAUACGUUCCCGGGCCUUGCACACACCGCCCGUC